AGAGUUUGAUCCUGGCUCAGGAUGAACGCUAGCGGCAGGCUUAACACAUGCAAGUCGAGGGGCAGCAUGAGGUAGCAAUACCUUGAUGGCGACCGGCGCAAGGGUGCGUAACGCGUGAGCAACUUGCCCGUUUCAGUGGGAUAACCGGUGGAAACGCCGACUAAUACCGCAUGGUGAUGUUUGGGGGCAUCCCCUUACAUCUAAAGAGAUUCGGAAACGGAUAGGCUCGCGUGACAUUAGCUGGACGGCGGGGUAACGGCCCACCGUGGCAACGAUGUCUAGGGGUUCUGAGAGGAAGGUCCCCCACACUGGAACUGAGACACGGUCCAGACUCCUACGGGAGGCAGCAGUGAGGAAUAUUGGUCAAUGGUCUGACGACUGAACCAGCCAUGCCGCGUGAAGGUGACGGCCCUAUGGGUCUUAAACUUCUUUUGCAGGGGAGCAAUAAGGAUCACGCGUGGUCCGAUGAGAGUACCCUGCGAAUAAGCAUCGGCUAACUCCGUGCCAGCAGCCGCGGUAAUACGGGGGAUGCAAGCGUUAUCCGGAUUUAUUGGGUUUAAAGGGUGCGUAGGCGGCUUAUUAAGUCAGCGGUGAAAUUUAGGGGCUCAACCUCUACCGUGCCGUUGAUACUGGUAUGCUGGAAUGCGGAUGCCGUGGGAGGAAUGUGUGGUGUAGCGGUGAAAUGCAUAGAUAUCACACAGAACACCGAUUGCGAAGGCAUCUCACGAAUCCGCUAUUGACGCUGAUGCACGAAAGCGUGGGGAUCAAACAGGAUUAGAUACCCUGGUAGUCCACGCUGUAAACGA
rnacentral:rRNA from 1 species